rnacentral:rRNA from 1 species
UGGGGAAUAUUGCACAAUGGGCGCAAGCCUGAUGCAGCGACGCCGCGUGGGGGAUGACGGCCUUCGGGUUGUAAACUCCUUUCGCUAGGGACGAAGCGCAAGUGACGGUACCUAGAGAAGAAGCACCGGCUAACUACGUGCCAGCAGCCGCGGUAAUACGUAGGGUGCGAGCGUUGUCCGGAAUUACUGGGCGUAAAGAGCUCGUAGGUGGUUUGUCGCGUCGUUUGUGUAGGCCCGCAGCUUAACUGCGGGACUGCAGGCGAUACGGGCAUAACUUGAGUGCUGUAGGGGAGACUGGAAUUCCUGGUGUAGCGGUGGAAUGCGCAGAUAUCAGGAGGAACACCGAUGGCGAAGGCAGGUCUCUGGGCAGUAACUGACGCUGAGGAGCGAAAGCAUGGGGAGCGAA